rnacentral:tRNA from 1 species
AGUGAGGUGGCCGAGAGGCUGAAGGCACUCCCCUGCUAAGGGAGUAUAUGAGUGUAUAUCGUAUCGAGGGUUCGAAUCCCUCCCUCACUG